UCCAUGUGGUAGACUUGACCUUGAUGUCAUGCACGACCAACUUGAAGGGGUGCUGCCCCUUGAGAUUAAGUUGUUGCUGCAAAAGUUUAUUUCAGUGGAAAAGUACUUCACACUUGACAUCCUCAACAGAAGAAUGGCUGCUUUCAGUUAUCCUAUAGUUGAUGCAUGCAAUAAGCCAAGUGCUAUAACGCAGCAGGCCUUAUCUUCUGAUUCUCCCAGUUUAAGUCAGUCAGCCUCGCAGAUGUGGUGCUUGGCACGAAUGCUUCCUCUCCUUACUGGGGACCUUAUUCCUGCUGAUGAUAAACACUGGGAAAACUUUCUCAGGUUACUUAAAGUGGAAGAGAUUGUUUUUGCUCCAAGAACAAGUGUUAGUUAGCAGCAUAUCUUGCAGUUCUUACUGAAGAUUACCUCGCUGAAUUCAGUGAACUUCAUGAAAGAAGAAUGAUCCCAAAGCAGCACUAUAUGGUCCACUAUCCAAGGCAAAUUGGGAGAAGAGGACCAUUAGUGAGGAAUUGGGCCAUGCGAUUUGAGGCAAAGCACAAUUACUUUGAAAGGCUAGUGGAGAGAAUAAAUAACUUAAAAAAUAUUAGUUAAUCUAUGGCAAGGCGCCAUCAAGCACUCCAGGCAUAUUUGCUCCAGUCUUCUACGGGAAAUUUAUUACGAAUGUCACUGGAAGUUGGACCAGGGAGAAAAACAACUGUUCUUGAAGGUGGCUUUUUGGAGCCUUUGGAAGAGAUGUAUCCAGAAAUAUCUGGCAAUGACACACUAACAAGGUAUGAGCAACAAUUCUAGUUCCAUAGUAAUAGAUGUCCAA